rnacentral:rRNA from 1 species
UACAGAGGUGCCAAGCGUUAGGCGGAAUCACUGGGCUUAAAGCGCGCGUAGGCGGAUGUUUAAGUGUCUUGUGAAAUCCCACGGCUCAACCGUGGAACUGCUGGGCAUACUGGACAUCUUGAGGCACUCAGGGGCGAGCGGAACAAGUGGUGGAGCGGUGAAAUGCGUAGAUAUCACUUGGAACGCCAAUGGUGAAAACAACUCGCUGGGGGUGUGCUGACGCUGAGACACGAAAGCCAGGGGAGCGAACGGG